rnacentral:rRNA from 1 species
AUUGAACGCUGGCGGCAGGCCUAACACAUGCAAGUCGGACGGUAGCACAGGGGAGCUUGCUCCUCGGGUGACGAGUGGCGGACGGGUGAGUAAUGUCUGGGGAUCUGCCCGAUAGAGGGGGAUAACCACUGGAAACGGUGGCUAAUACCGCAUAACGUCGCAAGACCAAAGAGGGGGACCUUCGGGCCUCUCACUAUCGGAUGAACCCAGAUGGGAUUAGCUAGUAGGCGGGGUAACGGCCCACCUAGGCGACGAUCCCUAGCUGGUCUGAGAGGAUGACCAGCCACACUGGAACUGAGACACGGUCCAGACUCCUACGGGAGGCAGCAGUGGGGAAUAUUGCACAAUGGGCGCAAGCCUGAUGCAGCCAUGCCGCGUGUAUGAAGAAGGCCUUCGGGUUGUAAAGUACUUUCAGCGGGGAGGAAGGCAAUGUGGUUAAUAACCGCAUUGAUUGACGUUACCCGCAGAAGAAGCACCGGCUAACUCCGUGCCAGCAGCCGCCGUAA